rnacentral:rRNA from 1 species
GAUGAACGCUGGCGGCGUGCCUAAUACAUGCAAGUCGAGCGAACGGACGAGAAGCUUGCUUCUCUGAUGUUAGCGGCGGACGGGUGAGUAACACGUGGAUAACCUACCUAUAAGACUGGGAUAACUUCGGGAAACCGGAGCUAAUACCGGAUAAUAUUUUGAACCGCAUGGUUCAAAAGUGAAAGACGGUCUUGCUGUCACUUAUAGAUGGAUCCGCGCUGCAUUAGCUAGUUGGUAAGGUAACGGCUUACCAAGGCAACGAUGCAUAGCCGACCUGAGAGGGUGAUCGGCCACACGGGAACUGAGACGCGGUCAAGACUCCUACGGGAGGCAGCAGUAGGGAAUCGUCCGCAAUGGGCGAAAGCCUGACGGAGCAACGCCGCGUGAGUGAUGAAGGUCUUCGGAUCGUAAAACUCUGUUAUUAGGGAAGAACAUAUGUGUAAGUAACUGUGCACAUCUUGACGGUACCUAAUCAGAAAGCCACGGCUAACUACGUG